UACAGAGGUGGCAAGCAUUGUUCGGAUUCAUUGGGUUUAAAGGGUCCGUAGGCGGUUUGGUAAGUCAGUGGUGAAAGCCCAUCGCUUAACGAUGGAACGGCCAUUGAUACUGCCAGACUUGAAUUACUAGGAAGUAACUAGAAUAUGUAGUGUAGCGGUGAAAUGCUUAGAGAUUACAUGGAAUACCAAUUGCGAAGGCAGGUUACUACUAAUGGAUUGACGCUGAUGGACGAAAGCGUGGGUAGCGAACAGGAUUAGAUACCUAGUAGU
rnacentral:rRNA from 1 species